GAUGAACGCUGGCGGCGUGCUUAACACAUGCAAGUCGAGCGAGAAGUUUUGAAAAGAUUCUUCGGAUGAAAUUUAAAAUGGAAAGCGGCGGACGGGUGAGUAACGCGUAGGCAACCUGCCCCAUACAAAGGGAUAGCAUUUGGAAACGAAUAUUAAUACCUUAUGAAACUUAACUAGUGCAUGCUAGGUAGGUCAAAGAUUUAUCGGUAUGGGAUGGGCCUGCGUCUGAUUAGCUAGUUGGUGAGGUAACGGCUCACCAAGGCGACGAUCAGUAGCCGACCUGAGAGGGUGAACGGCCACAUGGGAACUGAGACACGGUACAAACUCCUACGGGAGGCAGCAGUGGGGAAUAUUGCACAAUGGGGGAAACCCUGAUGCAGCAACGCCGCGUGAACGAUGAAGGCCUUUGGGUCGUAAAGUUCUGUUCUAGGUGAUGAAAACUGACAGUAACCGAGGAGAAAGCCCCGGCUAACUCCGUG
rnacentral:rRNA from 1 species